GUAAGUGUAGUUUAACAAAAACAUUAGAUUGUGAUUCUAAAAACAGGGGUUAAAAUCCCCCCACUCACC
rnacentral:tRNA from 1 species